rnacentral:rRNA from 1 species
UACGUAGGGUGCAAGCGUUGUCCGGAAUUAUUGGGCGUAAAGAGCUCGUAGGCGGUUUUGUCGCGUCUGCUGUGAAAACUGGAGGCUCAACCUCCAGCCUGCAGUGGGUACGGGCAAACUAGAGUGCGGUAGGGGAGAUUGGAAUUCCUGGUGUAGCGGUGGAAUGCGCAGAUAUCAGGAGGAACACCGAUGGCGAAGGCAGAUCUCUGGGCCGUAACUGACGCUGAGGAGCGAAAGCGUGGGGAGCGAACAGG